rnacentral:rRNA from 1 species
GCCCAGCUGUAAACACAUUAUUCGCCAGAAAAGUAGAGGCCACAGCCCGAAACUCAAAAGACCUGGCGGUACCCUACACCAACCUAGAGGAGCCUGUGCUAUAAUCGAUAACCCGCGAUCAACCUCACCACUUCUUGCAACUUCAGCCUGUAUACCGCCGUCGCCAGCCUGCCUCCCAAGAGAACAGAGCAAAAUAAUCCCCAUAAAUACGACAGGUCAAGGUGCAGCUAAUGAAGUGGCACGCAUGGGCUACAAUGCCAUACCACUGGCCAAAACAAAGUCCAAGCUGAAUUUAACCUCGGACAAAGCAGGAUUUAGUAGUAAGAUUAAUAAGAACAUUACUCUGAAUGCACGCGCUGGGGUACU